rnacentral:lncRNA from 1 species
CUUGUGCUGGGGAUGAUAGGGUACAACAAAACGCUUUGCCAUUAUCAUUUAUCCUCCAGAGUGUGGGCGUAAAUAAUGUGCCCACAUUUGUGAAACUCAGAGGGAUCUCCAUGGAAACGCUUAAUCGCUGACAUUUAAACUCCUGGUGCUGAUAAGGAAAGCUGCUGCCUCUGACCUAUUGAGAACAGUUUAUCAAGGUGGAAGUUAACUUGAUUUACCCAGACUCAAUGACUGAACAAGAGAAUUGAUUAUACAGCAUUGGAAAAAGGAAGGGGAUUAUCAGAUCCAAAACUACUCUAGCACUCAAAUAAAAAGGAAGGUGUUCCCAAUAUGAGGGCAAGAGCUAUGGACAAAAUCAGUAGUUGAAACAAUGAAAUAGAAUCCAAAAAAAUAUAGAGACAAAGAAUGUUUCUAUGCCACAUAGAGAAGAAUAUCAAUAUGUUUUCACCAAUCAUUCAAUCAACCAGAAUUGAGUGAAUGUGUCUAGAGGGACAGAUAUCAUCAGAACUCUGGAGACCCCAUCUGCCAGUGCAAGUAGGUGGUUGAGAGAAUGACUUCAAGCUUAUAUGUGUCGUA